rnacentral:SRP_RNA from 1 species
CUGGGACUGCGUCAUGGUCCUGCUCAUCUUGUACACCAUGGGCAUCGUGCCGUACGAGA